UGGACGAAGUCUGACCGAGCACGCCGCGUGAGUGAAGAAGGUUUUCGGAUCGUAAAACUCUGUUGUUAGAGAAGAACAAGGAUGAGAGUAACUGUUCAUCCCUUGACGGUAUCUAACCAGAAAGCCACGGCUAACUACGUGCCAGCAGCCGCGGUAAUACGUAGGUGGCAAGCGUUGUCCGGAUUUAUUGGGCGUAAAGCGAGCGCAGGCGGUUUCUUAAGUCUGAUGUGAAAGCCCCCGGCUCAACCGGGGAGGGUCAUUGGAAACUGGGAGACUUGAGUGCAGAAGAGGAGAGUGGAAUUCCAUGUGUAGCGGUGAAAUGCGUAGAUAUAUGGAGGAACACCAGUGGCGAAGGCGGCUCUCUGGUCUGUAACUGACGCUGAGGCUCGAAAGCGUGGGGAGCAAACAGGAUUAGAUACCCUGGUAGUCCACGCCGUAAACGAUGAGUGCUAAGUGUUGGAGGGUUUCCGCCCUUCAGUGCUGCAGCUAACGCAUUAAGCACUCCGCCUGGGGAGUACGACCGCAAGGUUGAAACUCAAAGGAAUUGACGGA
rnacentral:rRNA from 1 species